rnacentral:lncRNA from 1 species
GGCUGCCAUCUUGGAAAGGAGGGCGACAAGCUUUGGAGGGUGGAGAAUAACCCAGUUGAAAAUCUACAAGCAAUGCUGUCCACAUCCCAAAUAGACUGGUCAAAAAGCCUUCAUCCCGUCAGUCACUGACAUCAACUUCAUCCAAAUCAGACUCCUAAAAACCCGGCCUAACUUAUGUGUCAUGCAAAGGAUGGCUCUUGGAAAAAUGCAAAGAGUGGUCAGGAGAAGAAACCAACAAGAAAUGUAACCUACCUCCAGAACUCAGGAACUCAGGUACCCUUAAGGAUAUCAGAAACAAUGAAAUAUGGAUUGGCAGAAGCAUCUUCACCACCAUCUUCAGAUGUAAUUAAUGCAGCUGUUGAAUUUGGUUGACUAUCCACCUAUAAUUACCACAUUGCCCAUUACAGAUUUUUGCUGCCUUUUCUUGCCUCCUUUUCAUUUUUACAUCCACUUAUUCCCUACAGAAAUGACAGAUAAUCAGCAUUUUUGUUUUCUUGUUAUGUUGUCCUGAUAGUACAGCUACAAAUGGAUUUGAUGUGCUGAAUAAUGGUCUACUAGGCCUAAAAAUGAAAGUCUAGACCCUUAGUCAAAAAUAACUUGGAUCUAUGUGGUACCAAGAAAAGAGGAAUUAUAAGAAAAAGAAUAUUAGUUUAAUGUUCUGUAAAUUUUUUUCUUAACCUAUUCUGUCCAGUAUUUACUACUUGGCUGCAUUCCUAAAACAUAAAUUUCACAGGGGCAGGAGUCUUUGUCCAUUUUGCUCAUUAAUGUGUUAGGAAUACUAAAAAGAGUGUCUAGCGGGGUAGUCACAUAAUAAAUACCUGUUGCAUGAACAAA